rfam:Dipodomys ordii contig_38831, whole genome shotgun sequence.
GGGAAUGUGGCUCAGUGGUAGAGUGCUUGCCUAGCAUGCAUGAGGCCUCUGGGUUCAAUUCCUCAGUACCA